rnacentral:rRNA from 1 species
GACGAACGCUGGCGGCGUGCUUAACACAUGCAAGUCGAACGGAAAGGCCCUGCGUUUGUGGGGUGCUCGAGUGGCGAACGGGUGAGUAACACGUGAGUAACAUGCCCUUGACUGUGGGAUAACUUCAGGAAACAGGGGCUAAUACCGGAUAGGAGCUCCUGCUGCAUGGUGGGGGUUGGAAAGUUUCGGCGGUUGGGGAUGGACUCGCGGCUUAUCAGCUUGUUGGUGGGGUAGUGGCUUACCAAGGCUUUGAAGGGUAGCCGGCCUGAGAGGGUGACCGGCCACAAUGGGACUGAGAUACGGACCAGACGCCUACGGGAGGCAGCAGUGGGGAAUAUUGCACAAUGGGCGGAAGCCUGAUACAGCAACGCCGCGUGCGGGAUGACGGCCUUCGGGUUGUAAACCGCUUUCGCAUGUGACGAAGCGUGAGUGACGGUAAUGGGUAAGGAAGCACCGGCUAACUACGUG